UGCCCCUUGGCUUAGAUGGUCAAAGCAUCUGACUGUUAUCGCGGUAUACAUUAGAAGGUCGUGAGUUCGAGCCUCACAGGGGCAG